GGCAAGCAAGUACUAUAACCGCUCCAUUCCCACUAUUGAAAAGAAAAAAUCCACCAUGCCCUGCAUCCACCAUUCAAAAGAAAAAAAGUUUACUUCAUUUGAAGCGGAUCGAUUUGAAAUCCAUCGGGCAAUUCGAGUUUUGCCAUCUAUGAACCCAAUUAGGUCUAUUUGCAAAAAUUAUACUAUUUUGAAUAUUUUAGAAUUACUAAUUAUUAAUAUAAGAUAAUAUCAACUUAUUUAAUGAUUUUAAUACUGUAAUACCCGAUUUUGGCCUGGGUAAAAGGCCCAAAUUACAAAGAGGCCUAUGUGGCCCAAAACCCGAAGUACAACAGGGGCCCAAAGCUCGGUGGCCCAAAUCAUUUGCAAAAACCCUAGGGUUUCUGAGGAAGCCCUUUGCGCCGCAGCCACAAGCGUCCCCAUACCUGCGCAUCAAAGAGAAACAAAAAAGGAAACACAAUCAAAUAUUCGAAAAUCAAAUAAUGAAGCAGAUUUGUUUCUUCUUUAGAUUGGUUUCUGCUAUUAUGUUUUCAUUUGGCUAUAAAAAGCCAUCAAAAAUACUGUAAAAUGGGGGGAUUGACAUAUACUGGAUACAAAAAAAAAGCAAUAAAAUACAUCAGUUUUCUUUAAGGUGAUUCUCAAAGUUUUUUUAUUUUUUAUUUUUAUUUAUUUUUUGAUCUGUUCUUGAAUAAAAGAAAAAGAAAAGAAAGAAAUUCUUACCUUCAUCCAGCGUCGUCGAAACCUCGUUUACUCCGUCUAAAUCGGGGUCUGAUGAAGUUUUGGGUUUGAAGGCGGCAGAAGAGUGUGAGAGGAUUUAGUUUUUUUUAUGGUUUAAUGAGAAUGGAAAAG
rnacentral:lncRNA from 1 species